UCAUGUGCACUUUAUUAACUUUUAUGUGUCAGAUGAACCCUCAGUUACAACAAGAACAUGAAUCAGCUCUUAACUGUGACACACAAGGUCACAGAUCCAAAAGACAGAAAGAUUCUUCUGAGCCAGCAGAUGUUGUUCUGACAAAGUUCCAGAGGUUCUAUGAGGGAAAUAGAUCUGACACGAGAAAGGAGUCGCAAAAUCACACAUUAGAGUCUCCUUCAUUUGAUAUAAAUAAAGACUUAAACUAGCGCCUGAUAAACGCGACGAAUACCAUUCCAAAACAUUUGGCUGCACCUGGCAACAUUCUGACUGGGUUUUUGGCAGGUUAUGCAGGCUGCGUUUUAGGGCACCGUUCCUGCGUCUUUGCCAACAUGACCUCUAAAGACAUCAAGUCAGCUAAACUGGAAAGUGACAACUGUGUUAUAAAUGUAAAUGUUUUAGCACCUCAUGAAGAAGAAUUGCCUGACAAUCAAAAAUAUUUCCAGUUUUGUUUCCAUGGCCUGGUUCUAUGCAGAGUUAUGAAGGGACACAAACAUGACAUACAUACGGUCAUCUGUAGCCACCCACGUGGGUAAUAAUCUUGUGUUUACUUCACGUCUUUAUUUUGCUGUGUUAUAAAGUCAAUCUUGUGCACAGGCUAAAAAUGACUGAACUCAAGAGGAGCGUGAGAACGUUGUUGAAGCAAUGUGCCACAGCUUAAAAACAUCUGACAGAUUCUACGUGGCCAGCUUGAGCCCGGCACACACUGUUAACGUUCGCUCACUAGUGAGUAAAGCCUGUGAAGUCAACAAGGGAGACACUGAAGGUUGGCGAACCCAACAUUAUGCGCUACAAAAAUCGGUUUAUGUGAUUGGUCCACAUAAAGUCUCAGACUUGUUGUCAGUCUCCCUGUUCAUAUGUUGAUUCUACUUUUGCACUUUUCCACUUAAGUUCUAACUUUGUUUAAAGUUUACUAUU